rnacentral:rRNA from 1 species
UACGUAGGGGGCAAGCGUUAUCCGGAUUUACUGGGUGUAAAGGGAGCGUAGGUGGUAGUGCAAGUCAGAUGUGAAAGCCCGUUGCUUAACAGCGGGAUUGCAUCAGAAACUGUAUUACUAGAGUACAGGAGAGGUAAGUGGAAUUCCUAGUGUAGCGGUGAAAUGCGUAGAUAUUAGGAGGAACAUCAGUGGCGAAGGCGGCUUACUGGACUGUAACUGACACUAAGGCUCGAAAGCGUGGGGAGCAAACAGG